rnacentral:rRNA from 1 species
UGUAAGCGUAUACCAAAGUUGUUGCAGUUAAAACGCUCGUAGUCGGAAUUUGGCAGUUCCGGAUGUGUGCACGUCGUGUGCGCACUUCGCGGGGAUUGCUUUUGUGGUCUUGCGUAGGAUGAGGCACUUUUAUUAGUGAACGUCCUCACGCAACCACUUUUUACUGUGAGAAAAUCAGAGUGCUCAAAGCAGGCAUUUGCCGUGAAUGUAUUAGCAUGGAAUAAUAGAAUAGGACUUGGUUCUAUUUUGUUGGUUUGUUGGGACUGAGUAAUGAUUAAGAGGGACAGUUGGGGGCAUUUGUAUUUCGGUGCUAGAGGUGAAAUUCUUGGACCGUCUGAAGACUAACUACUGCGAAAGCAUUUGCCAAGAAUGUUUUCAUUAA